rnacentral:misc_RNA from 1 species
AAAUGUCGUAACAAGGUUUCCGUAGGUGAACCUGCGGAAGGAUCAUUACAAAGUAAAUGCUGGUAGGAAGUGGGGUCCUGAUCUGUAAGUGGUAGAGCGAACAGUCCGGCUGCCUCCCGAAACUGUCUUACAUGUCCCCCAACAGCCUGAAGGCCGAAUUUACAACCCUUGAUUAUCUACACUUGUUGCUUUGGGGUGCUCAAGUGCCCCAGAGGACACACUCUUCUGCAUUUAGAUGACGUCUGAGCAUCUAUAUAAUUAAUUUCAAAUUC